CAAAACACUGCAGUCCAUCACAUCGCAUCCCUUAAACUUGCAAGGAAUAACAGGGCAUCCUCACGGGCCAUGUCAGAGCCUGCCAGGAACAGCGACUAAACCAUCUCACAGUCCCUCGCUCUGUCAAGGGGCACUUCAUUUCAGCCCGUGCUGUUUGGAAAGCAGCUGCUGUCAGCCCCGGGCAGAUGAGAGCUCCCAGGAGGAAGCAUUCGCGCCGCUGCCGGGGAUGUCUGCCUGCUGCCCGGAGCUAGCCCGUGUCAGAGCUCGGUUCCAAGCGCCGGAGCGGCGGGAGCUGAGCAAUCCCCUGGCAGCAGCAGCCAGAUCAGCUUGCAGCCCUGCCUUUGUAGCUUUACACCACACCCCUCCAACGUGGAUUACUAGAGGGGGAUCACACUCAGCUCUGAUUCAGGAAUUCCCUCUCUCUUCAAGAGCUAUUGCUAAGAGUUGGGAAAAAUGAAGGGAAGAAAAGAGGAAUAUUCCUUACCUUCACCCUUCAUCUUGUUGCUCUUCUGUGUCGCUGGGCACGCAACUGCUGAGCUGGAUGACAGCAAAGAGCGUGUUGUGGGUGCUGCUUUGCCACCACUGAAGCUUGUGCACUCAUUCUGUGCCUUGAAAGCAGACGAAGGUCCGUGCAAAGCCAUCCACAUCCGCUAUUUCUUCAGCAUCAAGAGCCGCAAGUGUGAAGUGUUUGAAUAUGGUGGAUGCCAUGGCAAUGAGAACAACUUCCUAACGCUGCAGGAAUGCCAGGAGAAGUGUGUGCCAAAAGGCCAGUACCCAUUCUCUCACCCUCCUACCAAGUCUUCAUUUGCAGCUGUUAGUUCUCAUUCACAAACCACUUGAAUUUGGGAAGUAGAAGCCCUCCUCAGUUCCUAUUAUAACAGAAAUAUGAUUCCUCUAAUUAUGUUCCCAAGUAGGUUGUAGUCAUUUGAAUGAUUUUAUAUGGUGCAAGCAGACAUUCAGGGUAUGGAAAGACAGGUAGGUUUUUUAGUGUACCUGUGGAAUAGAGGCAGCAAUGCAAGGAAUCUUACUUUGUAGCUAGAGCCCUGUUUUGGAUGAUUUCUUAAGUGAAAUUGAUUCUGAGGCUGGGAUAAGCUGGUGGGUAGCAAAGAUGUUCUUUAUUGCUUUUGGAAUGCCUAACCCCAGUUUUGAUCCCAGGUUUGUCCUUUACUUGAGAAGCUGACAGAAGUUAUCAAAAAUUUUGGCCAUCUUCUCUGUUUCAGCAUAAUUACUGCUACAGUAGUAGAUCAUUCUCAUGAAAAAUGCCAGUUAUGGCCAUUUUUCCAUCUUUAUUAUAUUGGAUCCUCCUCAUUUAAUCAUUGGAAAAAAGAAAAUGAGAUCUAACAUAUGAUACACAGUACAAUCUGCACCAAGGGCUUUGUGAAUGCUGGUAUUGCUAUUAAAAUUCAUCCUUGUAAUUAAGAUUUUCAGCAUUGUAUGUAUUCCUCACACAACUGGAUAAAAAUUAGAAGACCUGUGUCUUCUAGGAUUAGUAUAGGCUGGUUGGAAGCACAGCAAGUUCUUAUAGGUUACUAAAAAUACUUCCAAGAAAUUUCAGAUUAUAAAAUUAAUUUCAGAAACUCCUAUUUGGCUUUUCUGGCCAAAGCUGGCUGCAUAUGUGACAAGAUAAUUUAUAGCUUCAGGUUUUGGCUGGCAACAAAUGUAAAUAUCUCUUGCCUAUUUUUUCUAUCCCUUCCAGAAUUUAUGCCCACACAGAAUUUAGAUCAGGCUUUAAAUCUGUUCCAUUGUCUGUUUUUUAACACAUCUGUAUUUCCUGAUCAAAAUUACUCUUGUAAUUUAUAUCUUGUUGGUAAAUUUAUUUAGAAAUCAAAGUAAGUAUCUGUCUCUCACUACAGUGUUUCAAUAAUGGCUGAAGCUGGUUACACAUUACCCAAAGUAGUAUUUCACGAGUGUUUGUUAGUUUCAAUGCCUCUAAUUUUACCAAUAUGCAAAUAUUAGUAAACUAUUUCCAUAUUCCUUGAAAGCAUCUCUGGUCUUGAUGCCUUUGGUCUUUCCCAAAAGGAGACUUCAUGAAUUUUAUUUAUUCAUCACAUAUUAACUCAAGAUAUUAUUUACCUUUCAGAUCUAUUUUUCUGGUCUGCUGGUGUCACCAUAAUUUCUGUUUAGUUAGGUUUUGCUUUUAAAUUACUGUAUGCUUAUAAAGCUCCCUCUAUCAGGAUGGAGGAAAAAAAAACAACACUACAAAGUUUCACUAAGAACUUCUCAAUGUCAAAAACAUUACUCCAUUUUUUAAGUGGAUCACAAUUUUCCAGUGCAUUUUACUCUAAGGAUAAUUUUAAACUUACCUUUUGAUGGUUUCUGGAUGGAUCCUACUAAUAAACCUCAGAGAUCAGAGGUGCUCCAGGGAAGAAGUGGCAAGGAUCAGUCAUAGCCUUGCUCUGUUUUCAGGUGUAAUACAUGGUUAAACCCAGUGGUAAUUAUAUUAAAGUAAUAUUAAUUAUUAAAGUGGCAUUCCAUCUAGAAAGAGGUAUACAGAAAUCACAAUUCUUUGUUACUAAAUAAUAUCAUCUAGCAUUUCAAGUUAAAAAAAAGAGAAAGGGAAGACUUGAAGAAAAACCUUUUGCCCUAAAUGCAAGCACACACAAAGUUCAGGAACCUCUGUUCUACUUGGAUCUGAAACGGAUCUUAAGCAAACUUUCCUGAAGUGGCUGUAAGAAAGAACCUAAUGAAUUACUUUUUAUGUUGAAGUCUCAGAUACUUCCAGAAGUGCAGAUUACUAUUUUGGUGCUCAAUUAUCUGUAUUUGGUAUUUUAGCAAUUGGCAAGGAUAAAAGCUGUUUACAACACUGUUCCUUCUCCAAACUAUACUAUUUGUGUCUUUGAUUCGUCAUACCUGAGUUUAAAAAAAAUCCCAAAGUCAGAUAGAAUUCAAGUAAUGGGUUUUAAAAUGUUCCUUACAGACUAUUGUAUGGGAGCAGAUCUCAUUUCUGGGCAGAAAAUCAAAGAAAGGAGUAAUUCAUUACAGAUCAUGAAUCUGUUUCUAGUUAUGACUCCACCAAGUUUGAAGAGUAAAGUCUUUCAUGAUAAAAAAUUGAAAAUUAUUCUUUCCUUGAAUAGCAUUCAGUUCCAGAAAGACCUGAAGUCUAGGAUAUGAAUUAGCUCUUCUUUGGUUGACACCAGGCUGGCUCUUGGUGGUUGCCAGCUAGUAUUUGGUUUGGGGUUUCAGCAGGACCCACAGCAUCUUUACCAUGCUUGGAGGGAGGUUAUUUGCACCUGCCAGAAGAAUCUCAUCCAAAACUUGAUACUUCCUGUCACAGAAAAUUUGGAGUGUUUGUUCUCAAUUUCAGUUUAAGGACUAAGACAGAGGAAUAAAAGGGAAAAGGCAGGGCUGAUAGAUGCAGAAUUUGGAAUUAAGUGUACAAAAGUCAUAAUCAGGUGUCAUGCGUGAAGAUUUAUCACAUUAUUUCUUCCACCUGAUAUUGCUGUUUUCACAGAAUAAGCUGAGUUGGAAGGGGCCCAGUGUUACUUUGAUUCUGACACACAUAUUGCAUCUGGAACCGAUCUUCUAGACCAAAUCCUGUACUGGCAUAUAUUUGGCAUAACUCUAUAGUAUAAAACUGAAAGUUAUUUAAAAUAAGAACUGGCUUACUGUCUCCAUCUUGGUACUCAGCCCAUGAACACUUUUCUGGAUCCAAGACUCCCCAACAGCUGGAUCUGCUUGGAGGAAGAGGAGAAACAAAGGCUCGUGAUCUCUGUAUUCUCUGAAUGGAUAAGAGUAGAUAAAGUUAUUUGGUAUUACGUACAGUGUGCUGCAGACCAUCAGGCAUAAAGCAUAGUAAAUCUUUAAAUUAAUCCCUUUUGCUAACAUAAUACAGCAAAACACUGUAUAAUUAUGUGAAUUUUUAUUAACUCUAACUCGGUCUGUGCAGUAUUAUAGUAUAUAUUUGUAUUCAUCUUAGAUUUCCAGUAUUCAUUACUGUAGGAGAUCACUAUUUAGUGACUGUAGAAAUGGAUCUGAAGAGAGAGUAUGAGUGACACAAAAGUGCUUAAAGAAAAAUCUGAAAUACUAAAUUUUCACUUUGAAGAAUGUGAAGACCAGUAGUGAGAAAAAUAAGCUCAAGUGCAACUAUGUAAUAUAUGUAGAAAUUCAGAAGAAAUAAUGUAAUAAAAGUUUUUGAUUUUCAAUAUUCAGCACAGUUACAAGAAUAAAUGAGCCAGCAUGAGGGAUUUACCAGAUCAGGAUAACUUGUUAACAGUUUGGAAUCAAUAAGCUACCAGGCAGAACUCAUUGAUGUCAGUACAACAGAGUUGAGAGAGCCCAGCUGCAGGCUGGCCACUCUAAGGCCCUCCAAAACAAUGUUCAGAUUCAAUAUGAGUACUUCUGAAUCAAGCUUCCUAGAUAUCAGCUGUAUUUUUUGUUUCUUCUGCCCAGUACUCACAAGUUCAGGGAACAAAAAAGUACUUUCUAAGAAGAAUUUGCCCAUAGGUGCCAUCGUUUAUUGGAUAUGAGUAUAAUCUCAAAUGUCACUCUGUGUCACUACCACAAAGACCUUAAUUUUCAAGGUAUGAAUAUAAAUUUUAGGCUACUUAAGCUUGCUACUAUGGGGAAAUACCUGCUGAUAAAUGGUUCUGGUCACAAUGGCAAUUCUAAUGUCUAUUAUUUAAAGGGGAUCUACUAAGAAAUACACUUUGUUUACAAAAAAGAAAACAACUCAGAGGUGGAUUUGGAUUUUUGACUGAAACCAGAAGCAAAACCAGUGUUGACAUGGUACAAAGAUUAAGAUAUUCUAGGCCUGUAUAAACUCACAAUGAAAUUUUCCU